GGGUUAUGGCGCUACAUUAAUCUG
rnacentral:siRNA from 1 species